UUAUGCAUGUAUGUACAUAGACAUAGAACAACACAUACUAUAACACAGUGCCACGCAUGCGUUAGCAACGUAGAUAUGCCGUCAUAACGCCGAACGUUAACUUCGUGACAGUUAAGCCCAGCAUACACUGUACAAUUUUUAAAAUCUUGUUGUUAAUACCAGCUCACACUGUACGAGUGAAUCGUCUGCAAUGUGCGGCCAAAGCUCACAAUUUAUGUGCUCACACUGUACGUUCCGAUCAUCAAGCACGAUCAGAGAGCUCACACUGUACGGGUGAAAACGGCUCGUCGGUACCUGCUGACUAUUCUGUCCAUUGACAGCUGUCAAUAAAGAUACAUUUGAAUGCUCCGAUUUGUUCCGGAAGCGAUGUUGCCAAUGAAGCAGGACAAGCGGUUUGCUUUAAUGAUUUGCGCUAUGCUGUGUGCCGAAACGUCCAAAAAGAAGAGGCGUCGACGCAUAUGGACUCGUAGAUGGCUUGAGGGACGUGGACAGUAUGGUUUGUCAAUUUUACAACGAGAGUUGGAGGUGGACGAUAUGAAGGGAUUUCGCGACCUUCUAAGAAUGUCUGUGGAGGACUUCAGUCACCUUCUGGACAGAGUAACACCUAUCAUCCAGAAGCAGGACGCCCAUCUAACAAAGGCCAUUAGCCCAAAGGACAGGCUCUCUGUGACAUUACGGUUCCUGGCUACAGGUGAAACAUUCAACUCACUGAGUUUCCAAUAUCGGAUUGGAAGCACAACUCUGAGCAGGAUUGUUAUGGAGACCUGUACAGCCCUAACUUCUGUGCUACGCGAGGAUUUCCUGAAGACACCAGGAACUGAGCCAGAGUGGAAAGCCAUUGCCAAAGACUUCCAUGACAAGUGGCAGUUUCCACACUGCCUGGGUGCAGUGGACGGGAAACACAUUUUCAUUCAACCUUCUGCCAACAGUGGAAGCAUGUAUUACAACUACAAGUCCCGGUUUUCCAUCAUACUCAUGGCUGUAGUUGAUGCAAAUUAUAAGUUUGUUUAUGCAAGUGCAGGAACCCAGGGCAGAGUGUCAGACGCUGGCGUGUUUGCACAAUCAGACUUGAGAGCCGCAAUGGACAAAGGCCUACUUCAUGUCCCCCCUGAUGACACACUGCCCAACACUGAUAUAUUGAUGCCCUACAUGUUCAUUGGAGAUGAGGCCUAUCUACUCAGAGCAGACCUCAUGAAACCUUACCCCUUCCAAAACCUGAACAGGAGUCAGAGGCUCUUCAAUUACCGUCUGUCUCGGGCUCGACGAGUAGUGGAAAAUGCCUUUGGAAUAUUAGCCAGUCACUUCAGAGUUUUCAGAACAACUAUUUCCCUGGAUCCAGACAAGGUCAUGAACAUCAUCUUUGCAUGUCUGUGCCUGCAUAACUUCUUACGUGACAGAAGAUCUGAUGCCUACUUGCCACCUGCCUAUGUGGAUUCAGAAGAUGCCAACCAUCAGCUGAUUGAAGGUGCAUGGAGGAGAGAGGGCAUACUACAGCCUGCACCAGUGGGAAGAGCAAGAAAUCCCUCUGUAAUAAACAUAAACAAAUCUCUUUUCAAGGCACUUAGAAGAGAACAGUAGUGCAAAAAAAAAGUGCAAAAGUUAACUUGCAUCCUGAUCAACCACUGCCAAUUUUCAACUAUUCGUCUUCAUUUAUCAUGAAGGACAUUGGUUGAGGCUGGAGGCUUUGAGACUGGUUCUGUUGGGCUGGUUGGCUCUGGAGCUGGAGACUGUGCUGGCUCUGAUAUGGUGGAUGUGGCACUUGCAUUGGCACAGCUGUGUAAUGGUCAUACCUUCCCUGAGUUGACUGGGACCCCAUAAAUGGUACUCCCCCUGGUUGGUACUGACUGAGGGUUACGUGUUCCCGGGCCUGCUCUGCCUCUAGGGCAUCAUACAGUAUGUUCAUAAUAUUUCUCCUAACUCUUAACUGAAGCACUCGAUCUUUAAUGUUUCUUAGCUCAUUUGCAACUUGUUGACCAAAUACCUCCUCACUGUCAUUAGUUGUAGAAGACAGAGUAUUAUGAAUCUGUUUUAACAAAGUUAACUUGCCAAAGUUAAUUCAAUAUUGUUAGCAUCAGAGGACUUUCCCUUUGCUUUGCUAAAGCGUGGUCUUUUGGGGGUCUCAUCAUGACGUGAUGCUAAUUCAGUCGAAGAUGUUUCCCCCUCUACAGUGGCAGAGACUGAACUUCUAGAGGACUGAGCAGAGGUUGAUGGAGGGGAGAGCAUCUGGGACAUUUCAUUGUUGUCAGUUGACAUGUCAAGCACCACAUCUUCAUCUUCCAUUUGCCCCUCCUCUUUCUCAUCAAUGUCCUCAGAGUCCUCGACGUCAAGCUGUAGUAAACAACACAGGGAGUUUGAAAAAAAAUUCCCUCACCAAAGAGGAAAGAUGCGGAAAAAGCAGUGCCAAAAUGGCUGAUUGGUGCCAGGGACAGGGGAUGCAACCGUGCCAUGAGAGCACAUGGAGGAGAGCAAAACCGGUAA